UAGUAGCAAUCUCAGCCAGGUGCCCCUUAGGGGAUAAUAGGGAAUCGGGUGAAAAGCCCGAGCGGUCCCGCCACUGUGACCGGGGAGCGAGCCUGCGAUUGGCCACUGUUUCUCAACCCGAGAGACGUCUCGGGAAAGGGGGAUGGGAAGGCGCAGGUAGCGGUGAUCCGGGAGCCAGGAGACCUGCCUGGUAUGAGCUCUUCGU
rnacentral:ncRNA from 2 species